rnacentral:piRNA from 1 species
AAAUACUGUUUGAAGGGCUUCUGUGU